rnacentral:rRNA from 1 species
GGGAAUUUUGCACAAUGGGGGCAASCYUGAUCCAGCAAUSCCGCGUGUGGAAAGAAGGCCUUAGGKUUGUAAACUACUUUCACUUGGGAAGAAGAGAUUAGUGUUAAUAACACUUUGAUUUGACGGUACCUUUAGAAGAAGCACCGGCUAAUUUCGUGCCAGCAGCCGCGGUAAUACGAAAGGUGCAAGCGUUGUUCGGAUUUAYUGGGCGUAAAGAGAUCGUAGGYGGUUUGUUAAGUCAGAUGUGAAAUCCCGGGGCUCAACCUCGGAACUGCAUCCGAAACUGCAAGACUUGAGUUUGGGAGGGGGGAGCGGAAUUCCGUGUGUAGCGGUGAAAUUCGUAGAUAUCCGGAGGAACACCUGAGGCGAAGGCGGCUUUCUGGACCAAUACUGACACUGAGGAUCGAAAGCGUGGGUAGCAAACAGGAUUAGAUACCCCGGUAGUCCACGCCCUAAACGAUGUCAACUAGCCGUUGCGGGUAUUAACCCCUGCAGUGGCGCAGCUAACGC